UAAUGUAGAAACUCUUAUUACACUGUUAGAGAAUCCUGGAGAUCUGGAACAGGGUCAGGAGAGAGCUUAGGGUAACAACUAUAUUUAAAUUUGGUAAAUUAAAAUAAUAUAAACUCAUAAAGCUCAGUUUAAUUCUCCCUAUUUCGUCCCUCCAGCUGGGUGCCCACAUAACCCAAUCCUUUCUCGUUAGUUUCCUCUAGUUCUCCAAGUUACUCUAGAAGCUCAAGUAGCAAGUUAUGCCCUAAACGCCUCCGUUUUUGUUUUAAAUCUCUUUAUGGACCUGAGUACAGUAAUCCUGGAUUUUGCCAAUUAAACUUUCCUAUUUGAGUUCUGCGUUUUUGGAGACUGAUUCCGCAGAACUAGCUUUCCCCAACGGUACUGCUCUUAAUAUUUUGUCACAUAAUCCCCCCAAGCAGUUUCACACUUUGCCUUAAUCAUCCUGUGUCUCCUCCUGCUCCUCCAGCCUCCACAGUUACCUCUCAGGGAUAUUUCUUCACAACUCCACCCCACUUCGUCAACAUAAAAAGCACCCAGGCUCCAGCCUCCCGACCUGAGUCACCCCACGCCCACUUCUAGUGUUACCAGCUCAGGCUCCUGCCCUUCGUCUUGUCUCUUCUCAGAUAAAAUCAGUAUCAUGUAGUAUUAGCAUAAGUGCAGUUCUAUCCAUUUGGCUAGACCUAGCCAGCCUGGAGUUUUUCAGUUGAUGGGAGAUUUUUUUUUAAUGCACAAUUUAAAAAUAUUCUUGUUAUAGAAACUUUCAAAACAAACAGAAGGAGAAAGAAUAGUCUAAUGAACCCCAUGUACCCAUCAUCCAACUUCCAUAGUUUCAAUUCUUUGUCAAUCUUGUUUUAUCUUUACCUCCACCACACCCACUGGUUUAUUUUGAUACAAAUCCCAGAUGCCCUAAAAUUUAUUUUGUAUAUCCGUAUGUGAUUCUAAAAAGGGGGAUAUCUUUUUUUAAAAGCAUAAGCACAAUAACACUAUCACACCUAAAAGUAAAAACCCCAAAUAUUUUCUCAAUACUCUCAAAUAUCCAGUUUUUAAAAAUUGAGAUCCAAAUAAGGAAUAUACAUGACAUUGGUUGAUGUAUCUCUUAUAUCUCUCUUUUUUUAAAAAACCUUUGCAUUAUGGAAAGUUUCAAACAUAUGUAAAGCAAACAGAAUAAUGUAUGUACUCUAUAUCUAGCUUCAACAACGAUCAAUUGUCUGUCACUCUUACAUCACCUAUACCUUCACCCACUCCCCACCUCGAUUGUUAUUUUUAACAGUUUUUUUGAAGUAACUUGUAUUAGUUGUACAACUUUGACAAAUGAAUAUAUUAAUGUAACCCACAAUACUAUCAUGAACACAGGACAUUUUCAUCUCUCCAGAAGAUUGUCUCGUGUCUCUUAUUCUUUCAGAGGCAACCAGUGUUUUGAUUUUGUUUAACCUUAGAUUAGUGAUUCUUCCACAACUUUAUACUCUUUUACAUCCAGCUUCUUCUCACUAUAAUAUCUGUGAGAUUUAUUAAUGUUGUUGGAUUAGUUUGUUUCUUUUCAUUGCUAUAACUACUACAAUAUAUUUAUUCUGUUGAGCUUAUUUAACACAUGUAUUUUCUCUAUAAGGCACAUUGCAGCCUUUUUGUGAUUAGGGACACUAGGCAGCACUUUAUCACUAUGCUUGAGAGUCAUUUUAAACAGUGAAAUCACCAACAAAAAGCAAAAAACAUGGCACUAUAUAGACUGCAAAAAAGAUGUUUAUUUACAGUAUGAGAGCUGAAACAAGUGGGUAGAGAGCACGACCUCAUCUGAGAACAUAUGCAUCAGGUGACUCAAUUUUUGGCCACUCUGUGAGUGUCCAUGAAUGACCACAACAGUAUUGAUUUUGAGGUUAUGAAUACCUUUUAGCGAUCAGGCAAAUUCAUGAAUACUGAAUUCAUUAAUGAUGAGUAGCAACUGUACAUAUGUGUAUCAGCAUAUGUACAGAUGGUCCCUGACUUAUGAUGGCUUAACACAUGAUUUUUUAACAUUAUGGUGGUGUGAAAGCUAUACACAUUCAGUAGAGACCAUACUUUGAAUUUAAUAUCAACAAGUGUCUCUGCUCCAGUGCCUUCUACCAAUGAUUCUCCAGCCUCAUCAGAAGAGAGAGAAAUUGAUGACCCUGUUGAUGUAGCAUCCUCAUCAUCCAGCAAUUAAUUUUAGUUCAAUACUUCAAACAUUCUUGAGGCCCAGUGUUGUUUCAGCUGUGUGUGUUAAUGAAAUCCAUCAUUCUCUGCUACUAUUCUGAUUUUAGAAGGAAAAAAAAAAACACAGCUGAAAUCAUCUACUCAACAAUGCAAGUCCCUGCUUGCUAUAAGUUUUAUUUAUCAUGAGGCAUCAAAUUUGCUAGUGGCAAGAGGCAUUGAGAACAUAAUGGUGAGCAAAACUGACCAAGGCCCUACUCUCGUGGAAUUUAUAUAGUCUCAUGGAUGGAUACCAAUCAAAUAAUCACACAGGGUAGAAAUUAGAAGAACUGAAGGAAAUGACCUCUGACCGGGGAUCUAAAAGAUGUUUGGCUCUACAAAAUGGAUGGAUUUUAUCAGUCGACACUACAGAGAUCAAACAAGAAAUUAACCCUGCAAAAAGUGCUGUGGAGAACCUGGGUUUUAAUCUAGAGUUUUGCAAGUUCAUGCACCCGGCAGUGGCCUAAGGAGCAGAAGGAGCAAACUGAAGUGUCAAGCACUGCAGUCGAUUCUGAAGAUACAAAAAUAAACAAAACAUUCCUGCCCUCAAGACACUUACACUCUUAUGUGUAACAUUGUGUGACCAUUCAUCUGGGCCUUCCUGAGACAGUCUUGGUUUAUACCUGUUUUCCCAAUCAGAGUGUCACUGCCUUUCCCACUAUUCUCCUGCAGAAGAGCAGGGGAAGGAAGCACCAGGGUCCAUCACGGAGAUCACCUGGCCCUAGAAUGACCUUAUAUCUCCGAGAUACAGACUGACGCUAAUAAAUGAGUUGCUGAUCCUAAAAUAAAAGUGGAAAUCAGGUUUGGAGUUUGAUGUAAAAGCCGGAGAGGCACAGGAAGGGUGUUGCCCUGAACAGUUGACACACCCUCGGCAAUGAGGCUUAGUUUUGCUGGAACUUUUCAGUUGUGACAACUGAGAUUCAGAGAUGUCCAAUCUACUCACACAAAUACCCAUGACAGACUGACGUAUCUAAAAAUCAUAGAUCAAGUAAAGAAUGUGUGCAAAUUAAAAUCCAUGCACAGAAAUCUAUGUGAGAAGAAGGAGCGUUGUCAUCGCAGACGUUUAACUGGGCCUGGUCGAAGAUGGCUGAGUGUAAACCAGAAUGCAAGUCAGCUGGGGCACGUACUACUGGAGGUAGAGCCCCAUGAGAAGGGGCCAAGAACCCGCACCCACCAAAAUCAAGAAGAAAGGCUGAACCCGGAGAGAAAAGGGAGGGAGUCUUGACUAAUCCAGUCAUGAGGAAUUGAAGCUAGAGUUGGGGCCAUGGCAAGCCAGAGCCUUGUGCAAGCCCAAGUUUUGGGAGAGCCAAAGCAAGAGUCUUGCAGAGAAAGUCAGCUGAAGAGAAGAUGGGGAAGAAAAGCAGAAUAAAGAAAACACAAGAAAUGUCAUGGUUUCAGAGUGUGGUUCUUUUUAGUGCAUGUCUUCAGCCAAGACAAGUAGGAAAUCAAAGCUUCAGAGAUGACCACAAUGCUGUAAAGCCCAGAGGAAAAGCCAAAGAAUGCUAUGAAAACUAAGUGUGGAAGAAAUCCCACAGCACCUACAGCAGGUUUUACUCCGCCUCAUUGAUGGACUAUUUAAAUUGCUUAAUUUUAGCUGGGCAUGGUGGCAGGUCCCUGUAGUCCCAGCUACAUGGGAGGCUGAGGCAGGAGGAUGGCUUGAACCCAGAAGUUAGAGGCUGCAGUGAGCCAUGAUUGCCCCACUGCACUCUAGCCUGAGCAACAGAGCAAGACCCUGUCUCUAAGAAAAUAAAAAUAAGAAAACUACUUGAUUUUCAGGAAGAUACUUCCAGUUCAAGAAUUUCAGAGAGAAGCAAAUAAGUUCUGGUGAAGAGAUGCUGCAUGCCUGGGCCUCUGUAUAGCACUCUCGAUUACAGCUGACCUGCAGAGAGCUUUGAUAGUCUGAGGUUACAAGUAAAAUUAAUGACCAUGGUGAGAAAGUUAUUCAGGACUAAAGGCUCUCAGUCCUCACAACCUCUUACAAAUGAUGUGCCUUUAGAUGAUUCUCAUGCUGUGCAAUCAUUCUUCAUUUCAUGUAGCCACUCAUCUACCCACUGAUUCUACAAAAAUUUAUUUAGCACCUACUGAGUAACAGGCAUUAGAGGCCAAGACAGAUGAGACACUCUCUGUCCUCAAAGGGCAGUGAGCACUUCUCAUUCACAGGACGUUUACAGCUUGUAAUUGUAUGCAUUUGUGGGAUUUGUUUUUGUUUAAUCUCUCUCUCCCAUUAUCUCAGUUUUAUAAGGACAGGAUUCAUGGGUUUGUUGUUGUUGUUGUUGUUGUUGUUGACUCUUGUAUCCUAGAACCUGGUAGGGCUCCUGGCACACAAUGGGCAUUUAAUACAUAUUUGGUGAACAAAUUAUUAAUGAAGGGCUUCGAGUCUGUUCAAGGUGUUAUUGUUUUUCUUCUGUUUUCUUUCUGUUUUUACUCAUGUUACAGUCUACCCCCCAAAAAGAUAUCUUCGUAGGACCAUCAGACAAUAAUACAUUUGG